rnacentral:rRNA from 1 species
CACGUAGGCGGAACAGAAAGUGUCUUGUGAAAGCCCCCGGCUUAACCGGGGAAUUGCUUGGCAAACUUCUGUUCUUGAGUCAAGUAGGGGUACAUGGAACUCUUAGUGGAGCGGUGGAAUGCGUAGAUAUUAAGAGGAACGCCAAUGGUGAAGACAGUGUACUGGGCUUGUACUGACGCUGAGGUGCGAAAGCGUGGGGAGCGAACAGGAUUAGAUACCCUGGUAGUCC